rnacentral:rRNA from 1 species
ACGGGUGAGUAACGCGUGGGAAUCUACCCAUCUCUACGGAAUAACGCAUGGAAACGUGUGCUAAUACCGUAUACGUCCUUCGGGAGAAAGAUUUAUCGGAGAUGGAUGAGCCCGCGUUGGAUUAGCUAGUUGGUGGGGUAAAGGCCUACCAAGGCGACGAUCCAUAGCUGGUCUGAGAGGAUGAUCAGCCACACUGGGACUGAGACACGGCCCAGACUCCUACGGGAGGCAGCAGUGGGGAAUAUUGGACAAUGGGCGCAAGCCUGAUCCAGCCAUGCCGCGUGAGUGAUGAAGGCCCUAGGGUUGUAAAGCUCUUUCACCGGUGAAGAUAAUGACGGUAACCGGAGAAGAAGCCCCGGCUAACUUCGUGCCAGCAGCCGCGGUAAUACGAAGGGGGCUAGCGUUGUUCGGAUUUACUGGGCGUAAAUCGCACGUAGGCGGACUAUUAAGUCAGGGGUGAAAUCCCGGGGCUCAACCCCGGAACUGCCUUUGAUACUGGUAGUCUUGAGUUCGAGAGAGGUGAAUGGAAUUCCGAGUGUAGAGGUGAAAUUCGUAGA